CAAGACCUCAGAUCAGGCGAGACUACCCGCUGAACUUAAGCAUAUCAAUAAGCGGAGGAAAAGAAACUAACCAGGAUUCCCUUAGUAAUGGCGAACGAACAGGGAACAGCUCAAAUUUUAAAUCUCGGAUGCUUGCGUCCGCGAAUUGUAGUUUCCAGAAACGUUAUCCCCGCGAGGGCGACCGGUCUAAGUUGCUUGGAACAGCAUAUCAAAGAGGGUGAGAAUCCCGUUUUUGACCGGGCGUCCCGUGGCACGAGGCGUUUUCGAA
rnacentral:rRNA from 1 species